AAGGGGCCCAAGUUUUAAAAUAGCACAUGCCCCGAAAUUCUUUGCCACGCCCCUGUCUCCCCCUAAACCACCACCCCAUCCCCAAAACUCCCCCCCCCCCCCUCUCUCACCGAAACCCCAUUAACAACCCAGCAGUCGAGAAAACCCAUCGCCUCUUCCCCCACCAUCGCGCUACCACAAACCAGCAGCUGUUGAUCUCUCCAUAGUUGAUCUACGAACUCUGACCCAAAUAACAAACUCACCACUGGUGGUCUAUUGGAUGUCCUAAUGGUAAGAUAUGAGUCAAUCAGUCACAAUCGACGAUGAUUCCGAUUCGUUUGAGGAGAGAGAAAUCGCCGGAGUGUAACCCUUCAUUUUUUUGCUGGAGGAUGUCUUUGUUUUGUUUUCGAUGGUCAUAUAGCUGCUUAUUUGUGGUUGAGUUUUCAUAAUAUGUGUUUUUUGAAACUUUGUGACAUGAUAAAUCUUCUUCGGUGUGUUCACUAAUGAUGCUGGUGGUGGGAUCGAAAGAAGUUAUGCUAGAAUAUCUAACUGCGCGGAUAUUCUAGCAUUGUUUUCUGUAAAUUGUUUUCUGUAUCUGAAUGUGUUAGUCAAAUAAAGAUUCUAUUGUAUUCACUUUUGCCUAUUUUUGUUUUAUCAUGGUUUUUGAAUUUGUUCAGAACUUCCGUGGGACAAUUAUUUGAAUGUGAUGGUCAAUUAAAGCUAGCAAAAGAAAAGUCUGCAUCAAGAUCUACAACCUGCUCAAUUCAUCAAGGGACGAAGGCACCACUGAGGACUAAUGUGCACAUAAAGGCUCUUUUACAGCUGCCAUCUUCUCACAUUAAGAGACGUAGAGGGCAUUUCUCUUCUGGCAGACCAGGUCCUUCUGCUGCAAACAUGUCAAGAUUGUCAACCCCUUUGGUGAAUUGGAAACCGUUGUGAAACGCAUAAAGCAUGGUUAAUGUCCAUAAUUGGAAGGAUAGAACACAACUUCCUCUAUGGUAAAUGGCUUCUCAUUUUGUCAAGCUUUAGAGGAACUAAUUAUCUUUUGAUGUUGGCUGCAUUUAUUAUUAGCAUUUUAAAUCAUUCCAAGAGUAUUUCAAUCUAGCUAUUUGUACUUAUUAUAUGUUCCCUUUUGUA